AAAGGAAUAGACGGGGACCCGCACAAGCAGCGGAGCAUGUGGUUUAAUUCGAAGCAACGCGAAGAACCUUACCAGGACUUGACAUAAUAUUGACCGGUAUAGAGAUAUGCCUUUCUCUUCGGAGACAGUAUUACAGGUGGUGCAUGGUUGUCGUCAGCUCGUGUCGUGAGAUGUUGGGUUAAGUCCCGCAACGAGCGCAACCCUUAUCUUUAGUUGCCAGCACGUAAAGGUGGGAACUCUAAAGAGACUGCCGUCGAUAAGACGGAGGAAGGUGGGGAUGACGUCAAAUCAUCAUGCCCUUUAUGUCCUGGGCUACACACGUGCUACAAUGGCUGGCACAAAGAGAAGCGAAACAGUGAUGUCAAGCAAAUCUCACAAAGCCAGUCCCAGUUCGGAUUGUUCUCUGCAACUCGAGAACAUGAAGUCGGAGUUGCUAGUAAUCGCAGAUCAGAAUGCUGCGGUGAAUGCGUUCCCGGGUCUUGUACACACCGCCCGU
rnacentral:rRNA from 1 species